rnacentral:rRNA from 1 species
GACGAACGCUGGCGGCGUGCCUAACACAUGCAAGUCGAACGGAACUGUUUUGAAAGAUUUCUUCGGAAUGAAUUUGAUUUAGUUUAGUGGCGGACGGGUGAGUAACGCGUGAGUAACCUGCCUUCAAGAGGGGGAUAACAUUCUGAAAAGAAUGCUAAUACCGCAUGACAUAUCGGAAUCACAUGGUUCUGAUAUCAAAGAUUUUAUCGCUUGAAGAUGGACUCGCGUCCGAUUAGUUAGUUGGUGAGGUAACGGCUCACCAAGACCGCGAUCGGUAGCCGGACUGAGAGGUUGAACGGCCACAUUGGGACUGAGACACGGCCCAGACUCCUACGGGAGGCAGCAGUGGGGGAUAUUGCGCAAUGGGGGCAACCCUGACGCAGCAACGCCGCGUGAAGGAUGAAGGUUUUCGGAUUGUAAACUUCUUUUAUUAAGGACGAAAAAUGACGGUACUUAAUGAAUAAGCUCCGGC